UAUUGCUUUAGCGAUCGUAAUUUAAUUUAAAUUAAUUUUUUUUACAUGUUAACAAAUGUAUAUUUAUACCAAUUUUUUCUUUGUCUCUUUAUUCCAAAAUUUCGCGUGUUAUCCGCAAUUAUCUAUAGAGAGUAAUCUGUGGUGCGUCUUAAUCACGGAAAAAGAUAAAAGUUUCACAUUACAAGAAUUAUAGCUGAGCCGCUUUGGGAACUUCCAGUUGAUUCCACUCACGUGCCAUUCCGUAGUGACUUAUAAAGACGUUUAUAUCCGUUCAAGAGGAAAAAAAGAAAGGUUCAAUAAGUGCUUUUGUAUCUUCGCCAAAACUCGCGUUAUACUCAUUGGUACUCUCGAAACGGAAAAUUUUCCGAUUACAGGUAAAUACGCGGACGUGAGUUGUCAACGGGGAGAGAAAAAUAAUAUAUAUGUUUUUUUAAAAGAGCAUCAAACGGAAUUAUUUAACGGGAUUAUUUAGGUUUAAUAGGUUAAUCGCUUAAUCCUUUUGCGCUUUCUGUUAUCAAAGCACGAAACGCUUGCGAGUGCAUGUCGCGUGCGCUGCACGAGAGUGGAGAGUUUCCGCUGCACGGACCACCGGGCGUUACCGUUGCGCCUAAUGGAACCCCGACAAACCCCGAGCGUUGGCGUUAGCGCGGCCUCAUCGUAUCCCUCCCAAUCGAUUUUACUCACGCGCUACACGGGAACAGAUUGCACGCUUCCCUGUAUCUAAGCGCAAUGAAAAACGGUCGUUGUUUUUGGUUCAUCAUCGCACCUGCGCUUUCAUCCCAGGUCACGCGCAUCCGUCCGCAACGACGUUCAUAACUCUCGAGCCCGGAAGAGGAACGCGCUUCUAAUAUUUUCUUCAUUUUGUUACAUCGUCAUGAGAAUAGCCUACAUUCGGUGAUUGCGGAAAACGAACAAAAAGGAAUUUUUGCGAUCUAAACCUUAGACAUUUUUUAGUAUUUGAAGUAAAGUGAGCGUUGCAAAGCGAUAAUACAAAAGGAAAUAUCAACGAAGAUGUACUCGUAUCAACAGAUAUACUCUGUAUGUUAUGUAAAUGUGUAUACAUAUCACAAAGAAUUUUUUCUAUUUUACUUUGGCUAUUCGCUGCACUCAAAGAAAAAAUAGUACCAGCUACUAAAAAUUGAAGAAAAGUAACAUUUCACCUAUGCAUUGUAAAAUUAUGAUAAAAAAAGUUAAUAAGUUGAAAAAAUAGAAGAAAGUUAUUAAAUGCGUAAGCGGUCACUUAAAUUGAAUCUUAAUAUCAUUUAUAUUUUUAUUUAAUAUAAAUAGCAUUUAGUGACAAAAUUUAGUGACAAAAAUACAAAGUAAAUGAAAGAUAAA